UACGUAGGGGACAAGCGUUGUCCGGAAUUACUGGGCGUAAAGCGCACGUAGGCGGCUUUGUAAGUCAGAGGUGAAAGCCUGGAGCUCAACUCCAGAACUGCCUUUGAGACUGCAUCGCUUGAAUCCAGGAGAGGUGAGUGGAAUUCCGAGUGUAGAGGUGAAAUUCGUAGAUAUUCGGAAGAACACCAGUGGCGAAGGCGGCUCACUGGACUGGUAUUGACGCUGAGGUGCGAAAGCGUGGGGAGCAAACAGG
rnacentral:rRNA from 1 species